GCUCCUCGCACCUGGACGGUGACGUGGCCUGCAAAGCCAGACGUUUCGGGUUCGAUUCCCGGCAGGAGCA
rnacentral:tRNA from 1 species